rnacentral:rRNA from 1 species
GACGAACGCUGGCGGCGUGCUUAACACAUGCAAGUCGAACGGAAAGGCCCUGCUUUUGUGGGGUGCUCGAGUGGCGAACGGGUGAGUAACACGUGAGUAACCUGCCCUUGACUUUGGGAUAACUUCAGGAAACUGGGGCUAAUACCGGAUAGGAGCACCUGCUGCAUGGUGGGGGUUGGAAAGUUUCGGCGGUUGGGGAUGGACUCGCGGCUUAUCAGCUUGUUGGUGGGGUAGUGGCUUACCAAGGCUUUGACGGGUAGCCGGCCUGAGAGGGUGACCGGCCACAUUGGGACUGAGAUACGGCCCAGACUCCUACGGGAGGCAGCAGUGGGGAAUAUUGCACAAUGGGCGGAAGCCUGAUGCAGCAACGCCGCGUGCGGGAUGACGGCCUUCGGGUUGUAAACCGCUUUCGCCUGUGACGAAGCGUGAGUGACGGUAAUGGGUAAAGAAGCACCGGCUAACUACGUGCCAGCAGCCGCGGUGAUACGGAGGGUGCGAGCGUUGUCCGGAUUUAUUGGGCGUAAAGGGCUCGUAGGUGGUUGAUCGCGUCGGAAGUGUAAUCUUGGGGCUUAACCCUGAGCGUGCUUUCGAUACGGGUUGACUUGAGGAAGGUAGGGGAGAAUGGAAUUCCUGGUGGAGCGGUGGAAUGCGCAGAUAUCAGGAGGAACACCAGUGGCGAAGGCGGUUCUCUGGGCCUUUCCUGACGCUGAGGAGCGAAAGCGUGGGGAGCGAACAGGCUUAGAUACCCUGGUAGUCCACGCUGUAAACGGUGGGUACUAGGUGUGGGGUCCAUUCCACGGGUUCCGUGCCGUAGCUAACGCUUUAAGUACCCCGCCUGGGGAGUACGGCCGCAAGGCUAAAACUCAAAGGAAUUGACGGGGCCCCGCACAAGCGGCGGAGCAUGCGGAUUAAUUCGAUGCAACGCGUAGAACCUUACCUGGGUUUGACAUGGAUCGGGAGUGCUCAGAGAUGGGUGUGCCUCUUUUGGGGUCGGUUCACAGGUGGUGCAUGGCUGUCGUCAGCUCGUGUCGUGAGAUGUUGGGUUAAGUCCCGCAACGAGCGCAACCCUUGUUCACUGUUGCCAGCACGUUAUGGUGGGGACUCAGUGGAGACCGCCGGGGUCAACUCGGAGGAAGGUGGGGAUGACGUCAAGUCAUCAUGCCCCUUAUGUCCAGGGCUUCACGCAUGCUACAAUGGCUGGUACAGAGAGUGGCGAGCCUGUGAGGGUGAGCGAAUCUCGGAAAGCCGGUCUCAGUUCGGAUUGGGGUCUGCAACUCGACCUCAUGAAGUCGGAGUCGCUAGUAAUCGCAGAUCAGCAACGCUGCGGUGAAUACGUUCCCGGG